rnacentral:rRNA from 1 species
CCUACGGGUGGCAGCAGUGAGGAAUAUUGGUCAAUGGCCGUAAGGCUGAACCAGCCAAGUAGCGUGAGGGAAGACUGCCCUAUGGGUUGUAAACCUCUUUUAUGCGGGGAUAAAGGUGUCCACGUGUGGAUGUUUGCAGGUACCGCAUGGAUAAGGACCGGCUAAUUCCGUGCCAGCAGCCGCGGUAAUACGGAAGGUCCGGGCGUUAUCCGGAUUUAUUGGGUUUAAAGGGAGCGUAGGCCGGUCUUUAAGCGUACCGGUAAAUUUUGUGGGCCAACCAUGAGUGUGCCGCGGGAACUGGGGACCUUGAGUGCGCGGGAGGCAGGCGGAAUUCGUGGUGUAGCGGUGAAAUGCUUAGAUAUCACGAAGAACCCCGAUUGCGAAGGCAGCCUGCCGCAGCGUUACUGACGCUGAAGCACGAAAGCGCGGGUAUCGAACAGGAUUAGAUACCCUUGUAGUC